rnacentral:sRNA from 1 species
ACUCGCCUAUUGUUGGUUCGCAGCCGUUUUGAGAUUCAAGUUUAGUCUUUACCUUCUCCAACUU